rnacentral:lncRNA from 1 species
UGUUUCAUUUCGAGGCCUUUUUGUUGCUGUUUCACUUCCACUUUUCUUCACUGUUGUAGUACUACUUGAUUCCCGUACUUCAGAUAUAUUCUGCUGGGAAAUGAGUGAACCAAAAGCUUGAAGGUGUGUUCUUGUUACGUUUAUAGAGAUACAUGUAUAUAAUUGUUAUAUCUAAUGUUUAUUUUUCCAUAUUAUCAUACGACAUUUAUGUAGACAUACAUGUACGUAUUUUUAUAUACCUUUGGUUUUUCUUCAUAACUAGAUGUAGGAAAUUGCUGUUGCAAAGGAGGGAAAAAGCUCGGACAAACAUCAUUCAUGGAACUUGCAGAUGCAUUCCAGAAAGGGGCGUUAUUAGAGAAGUGUAAUUGGCUUUGAGGAGAUUGU